rnacentral:rRNA from 1 species
UACAGGGGGGGCAAGCGUUGUUCGGAAUUACUGGGCGUAAAGGGCCAGUAGGCGGCCAACUAAGUCACACGUGAAAUCCCCAGGCUUAACCUGGGAGCUGCGUGUGAUACUGGAUGGCUUGAAUUCGGGAGAGGGAUGCAGAAUUCCAGGUGUAGCGGUGAAAUGCGUAGAUAUCUGGAGGAAUACCGGUGGCGAAGGCGGCAUCCUGGACCGACAUUGACGCUGAACGGCGAAAGCUAGGGGAGCAAACGGG